rnacentral:rRNA from 1 species
UGGGGAAUAUUGCACAAUGGGCGCAAGCCUGAUGCAGCCAUGCCGCGUGUAUGAAGAAGGCCUUCGGGUUGUAAAGUACUUUCAGCGGGGAGGAAGGGAGUAAAGUUAAUACCUUUGCUCAUUGACGUUACCCGCAGAAGAAGCACCGGCUAACUCCGUGCCAGCAGCCGCGGUAAUACGGAGGGUGCAAGCGUUAAUCGGAAUUACUGGGCGUAAAGCGCACGCAGGCGGUUUGUUAAGUCAGAUGUGAAAUCCCCGGGCUCAACCUGGGAACUGCAUCUGAUACUGGCAAGCUUGAGUCUCGUAGAGGGAGGUAGAAUUCCAGGUGUAGCGGUGAAAUGCGUAGAGAUCUGGAGGAAUACCGGUGGCGAAGGCGGCCCCCUGGACAAAGACUGACGCUCAGGUGCGAAAGCGUGGGGAGCAAACAGG